rnacentral:lncRNA from 1 species
CAAAAGAUUGAAAAACUGGAUUCUACGCCACUGGUCCCAAGGGCAAAAUCACCACUUAAUGGCUCCCGCUACAGCUUAACUGCUUGCUGUCGUGAUUACCUUCACAUGGAUCAUUUGCGUUUGGAGUGGCCUUAAAAAAAUAAAAAAUAAAAAAAGUGCAAGACGGCAAGAAAAAGAAACGUACAAAAACAGAGAACAUCAAUGAAGGAAGAAUACCUCUCUCACUUAGACCACUUAGACCCACAGAGACAGACACAUUCAAAGUCUUCGUACUUUUUUUCAACACAUGGCCUGGAAACCCCUCCAAUGUUACUCCUGGGACUCAACACCACUGAACUUCUAGUAUGUCAGGCCAAUUCAGGCCACCACACUCGACCACCUUCCAUGUUAGCAAAAACCCUAAUCUCGCACCACAUUCCGCACUCGCAACUUACACGCACCGACAAAUACCCAACUACGCAGCAUGUUUUGAAUUGUCUUUUCAGCCUGCACGUUGCACCAAAAAUCUUGAGCCAAGAUGCCAGAGGCAGGACACUGGACGAAGACGAAAGGCAACGGUUGUCAUGUCUCUGCAAGGUACACACAGAGACCGCAGCAGAUUGGCAUCAUCACCCAUCACCCAUCACCUCAGAGAAACCCAAAGCCGUAGCCGCAGCGAGGAACUAGCCGAUGACGACGGACAUAGAAGCGUCCUGAAGCCGUCACCAUAGCCUGCCAGCGUUGCAAGAUGGCGUUGCGUACUCCAAGAGCGCCAUAGCCUGAGCCCUGUCUGCGACAACAAUUACGGUCCCGACACAGCUUCUGACUGUAACCUCCAUUCUGA